GCCGCCAUAGCUCAGUGGUUAGAGCACUGGUCUUGUACUCCAGGGGUUGUGAGUUCAAUUCUCAAUAGUGGCA